AAGGCCUCUGCGGGCCGAAAGGAGGCUGCCGCCUGUCCCCCAUCUCUGCCACCCUGGGCCCGAACCAGUCCCCACCCAGCAGCUUAGAGGUGCUUUAAUGGGCAAAAUGGAGGCAACUUCUUGCCCGGGGAAACCCCGCCCCGGCAAGUUUGCAGCUGCCCUUUGCUCUACGCAGCCGUUUCGGCCGAGGCAGUUCCCCGGAUGACCGACAGAUGGCGCUAAACCUUCACUAUAGCCUUCCUGUUUUCCUGAGACUCUUCAGGGCCCUGACUGAUACAGGAGGAGUGUCUGCCAUGAGCUGUACCUGCCUAGGAUCCAGAGGAGAUCGGAAGGAGUGGUGAGUUUCCCAGGAUCUUGGGAAGUGGGAAGAGAAUGGAGGUCUGAGAGAAGACAAAGAGAAGUCUCACCAAGUACCACCAAAUAGGAU